CUGGCGGCGUGCUUAACACAUGCAAGUCGAACGAUGAAGCCCUUCGGGGUGGAUUAGUGGCGAACGGGUGAGUAACACGUGGGCAAUCUGCCCUUCACUCUGGGACAAGCCCUGGAAACGGGGUCUAAUACCGGAUACGACCUGCCGAGGCAUCUCGGCGGGUGGAAAGCUCCGGCGGUGAAGGAUGAGCCCGCGGCCUAUCAGCUUGUUGGUGGGGUAAUGGCCUACCAAGGCGACGACGGGUAGCCGGCCUGAGAGGGCGACCGGCCACACUGGGACUGAGACACGGCCCAGACUCCUACGGGAGGCAGCAGUGGGGAAUAUUGCACAAUGGGCGCAAGCCUGAUGCAGCGACGCCGCGUGAGGGAUGACGGCCUUCGGGUUGUAAACCUCUUUCAGCAGGGAAGAAGCGCAAGUGACGGUACCUGCAGAAGAAGCGCCGGCUAACUACGUGCCAGCAGCCGCGGUAAUACGUAGGGCGCAAGCGUUGUCCGGAAUUAUUGGGCGUAAAGAGCUCGUAGGCGGCUUGUCACGUCGGGUGUGAAAGCCCGGGGCUUAACCCCGGGUCUGCAUCCGAUACGGGCAGGCUAGAGUGUGGUAGGGGAGAUCGGAAUUCCUGGUGUAGCGGUGAAAUGCGCAGAUAUCAGGAGGAAC
rnacentral:rRNA from 1 species